GACGAACGCUGGCGGCGUGCCUAAUACAUGCAAGUCGAACGCAUUUUCUUUCACCGUAGCUUGCUACACCGAAAGAAAAUGAGUGGCGAACGGGUGAGUAACACGUGGGUAACCUGCCCAUCAGCGGGGGAUAACACUUGGAAACAGGUGCUAAUACCGCAUAAUUCCAUUUACCGCAUGGUAGAUGGAUGAAAGGCGCUUUUGCGUCACUGAUGGAUAGACCCGCGGUGCAUUAGCUAGUUGGUGGGGUAACGGCCUACCAAGGCUGCGAUGCAUAGCCGACCUGAGAGGGUGAUCGGCCACACUGGGACUGAGACACGGCCCAGACUCCUACGGGAGGCAGCAGUAGGGAAUCUUCGGCAAUGGACACAAGUCUGACCGAGCAACGCCGCGUGAGUGAAGAAGGUUUUCGGAUCGUAAAACUCUGUUGUUAGAGAAGAACAAGGAUGAGAGUGGAAAGUUCAUCCCUUGACGGUAUCUAACCAGAAAGCCACGGCUAACUACGUG
rnacentral:rRNA from 1 species